rnacentral:rRNA from 1 species
AUUGAACGCUGGCGGCAGGCCUAACACAUGCAAGUCGAGCGGAGCGACGGACGGGUGAGUAAUGCCUAGGAAUCUGCCUGGCCGUGGGGGAUAACGUCCGGACACGGACGCUAAUCCCGCAUCCUAUCAGAUGACACUAGGUCGGAUUAGCUAGUUGGUGGGGUAAAGGCCUACCAAGGCGACGAUCCGUAACUGGUCUGAGAGGAUGAUCAGUCACACUGGAACUGAGACACGGUCCAGACUCCUACGGGAGGCAGCAGUGGGGAAUAUUGGACAAUGGGCGAAAGCCUGACGCAGCCAUGCCGCGUGUGUGAAGAAGGUCUUCGGAUUGUAAAGCACUUUAAGUUGGGAGGCGUUACCAACAGAAAAAGCACCGGCUAACUUCGUGCCAGCAGCCGCGGUAAUAC